GAGCCACUCCCAUUUGUCCGGUGCACCAGCGAUGGCCAUGGCAACAUUUUGAUCCAUGGAUGAGUUUCUGCCAAGCAGCAGAUUGGUGGCUGGAUCCAAGACUUCAAGAUUAGGAGCAGGGUCAGGAGAAUGGAAGGAUUGCAUCAACACGUCAUACAUCCAAUCAAGAUCAGCUAUGUUAUAGGAAGUGAGAUCUUCUGAGAAGCUGAAAGAAGGAACGGGGAGAAA
rnacentral:lncRNA from 1 species